AUGUGUGAUCAGGUACUUAGAGGCAAGCCAUGGAACAAAUACAUCCAACGGACAAGACAGCGAGAUGUUUCCUCUCGUUUCCCCUUGUGUUUUCCCUCGUGUGUUCGUCGUUUUAACGGCGGGUCUGUUUAUUCUGUUGGUUGUGCUUUAGGAGGAAAGCUUGGCCAUGGCACCCGAACUGAUGAGAAAUACCCUAGAUUGAUUGAGCAGUUCCGGACUCUGAAUAUACAACCAAUAGUUGUUGCUGCUAGUGCUUGGUAUGCUGUUGUUGUGGGCAAGGAUGGACGAGUUUGCACUUGGGGAUGGGGACGUUAUGGCUGCUUGGGUCAUGGUAAUGAGGAAUGUGAGUAUGUUCCCAAGGUGGUUGAGGCCUUGAGCAGUGUGAAGGCCGUUUAUGUAGCAACUGGAGAUUAUAGCACAUUUAUUGUGUCACGCAAAGGUGAUGUUUACUCGUUUGGAUGUGGUGAGUCAUCAAGCCUUGGCCACAACACUACAAUUGAGGCCAACGUCCUUAGCCCUGAUCAGGUGACUUCGUUGCAGAGUAUGAAUGAGAAGGUGUCAGGCAAAUUCUACGCUUUCGGCGCAGGGGAUAAAGGGCAGCUAGGUAGUGAACUUGUCGCACAAGAAAGUGAGAGGGGAACCCCGGAGCGGGUCGAAAUUGACCUCAGUUAG
rnacentral:rRNA from 1 species